rnacentral:rRNA from 1 species
UACGUAGGGUGCAAGCGUUAAUCGGAAUUACUGGGCGUAAAGCGUGCGCAGGCGGUUCGCUAAGACAGAUGUGAAAUCCCCGGGCUUAACCUGGGAACUGCAUUUGUGACUGGCGGGCUAGAGUAUGGCAGAGGGGGGUAGAAUUCCACGUGUAGCAGUGAAAUGCGUAGAGAUGUGGAGGAAUACCGAUGGCGAAGGCAGCCCCUGGGCCAAUACUGACGCUCAUGCACGAAAGCGUGGGGAGCAAACAGGAUAGA